rnacentral:lncRNA from 1 species
UUCCGUUCAUGGAUCAAUUAAGGCUGCAACUCCCCCUUAUGAGUCUUUUUAGAUUCAUGAACAUGGCCAUGUAGAACAACAGUUGCAUGUUAAUUAGGCACCUAAAAAUGAAUGUAAGCUUCUAUUUGAGUUCCAAGACCGCACUAGAAGUAAGCCAUUCAUAUUUGAACUCUAAUGUAGCUGAUCUCGAGGGAGUUGCUUAUCCUAGAGUUAGAA